rnacentral:rRNA from 1 species
UACGUAGGGUGCAAGCGUUAAUCGGAAUUACUGGGCGUAAAGGGCGCGUAGGCGGCGCGACAAGUCACUUGUGAAAUCUCCGGGCUUAACUCGGAGCGGCCAAGUGAUACUGUCGUGCUAGAGUGCGGAAGGGGCAACUGGAAUUCUCGGUGUAGCGGUGAAAUGCGUAGAUAUCGAGAGGAACACCUGCGGCGAAGGCGGGUUGCUGGGCCGACACUGACGCUGAAGCGCGAAAGCCAGGGGAGCGAACGGG